AUGGGAUAAAGGGGGCCGUAGUCGGAGCUUUCACAUCGCAGUCCCUGUCAGGCUCGGUCUGCCAAUACCUUGCGCGUUCUUCGACCACAUUUCACACAAUUUUCACCAUUUUAGCUGAUAUUUAAAGAUAGUUAAAAAGUGCCCUAUGCCUUGCCCAGCCGAUAUUGGAAUCAACCUUCAAAAUAUGUUAUUAAUGAUGGGUUGGCUGAUUCGGGAACUGCGGUUACUUGUUUUUAUGUAUUUAAAAAAAAGAAUUACUAACGCCAUAACGGUCCAGUGUAAACAAAAGAAAAUUAACUCUACACCAAAGCUCAGACUGUUUUGUCUCUUCUCAUUCUCUCACUCUCUUUUUCUGUCCUUGUUAUCUUUGCAGAUCGGUGACUCUGUGACAAGACCUUGCGAAAGAUGCAUGUGUGUCCAAAAUUUUGGCUUGAUGUGCACACGGACAUUCUGCAACCUUCAACCUAGUGACUGCGAACAGGGUGAAUCAGUGGUCAACACUGAUGACGGAUGCUGUGAGUGCCGCGAACUUACUACUACCCCGGGGACAACAACCCCAGCUUGCCUGGCACCUAAGAUUUACCGAGAUAACUGCGACUGCCAGCGAACCUGUGAAGACAUGAUAACACCAUGCAC